rnacentral:rRNA from 1 species
GACGAACGCUGGCGGCGUGCUUAACACAUGCAAGUCGAACGGAAAGGCCCUGCUUUUGUGGGGUGCUCGAGUGGCGAACGGGUGAGUAACACGUGAGUAACCUGCCCUUGACUUUGGGAUAACUUCAGGAAACUGGGGCUACUACCGGAUAGGAGCUCCUGCUGCAUGGUGGGGGUUGGAAAGUUUCGGCGGUUGGGGAUGGACUCGCGGCUUAUCAGCUUGUUGGUUGGGUAGUGGCUUACCAAGGCUUUGACGGGUAGCCGGCCUGAGAGGGUGACCGGCCACAAUGGGACUGAGAUACGGCCCAGACUCCUACGGGAGGCAGCAGUGGGGAAUAUUGCACAAUGGGCGGAAGCCUGAUGCAGCAACGCCGCGUGCGGGAUGACGGCCUUCGGGUUGUAAACCGCUUUCGCCUGUGACGAAGCGUGAGUGACGGUAAUGGGUAAAGAAGCACCGGCUAACUACGUG